UCCCCGGUAGCUCAACAGGUAGAGCGGCUGGCUGUUAACCAGUAGGUCGUAGGUUCGAGCCCUACCCGGGGAGCCA
rnacentral:tRNA from 1 species